AUGUCGAUGCUGGAUGAGUGGCAUCACCUUGCCAAACACUCUAGACGGUUCAUUAAAGGUUGGGGUGCUAAUGUGGGGCGAGACCUUAGGGUCCAUAAGGGAGCCUUACUUGCGAAGAUUCCGGUUCUCGACCUGCGUGCGGAUGGUAGUGGUCUCUCGUCCAAUGAGUGGGCUUUACUAUACAGUCUCAAAGAUGCUCUGAUGGACAUCUAUGCCAAGGAGGAGGAAUAUUGGCGGCAGCGGGGAUCCAUGAACUGGAUUUUGGAUGGAGAUCGGAUGCUGCAGGAUCCGGAUGUGAUCCGGAGCCAUGUAGAUGGGUUCUACAAGGCGUUAUUCCCCAAACUACGUGGGGGGGGGGGCAUUGCCCUUGUGGAUAAUAUUUGGGUGGCUCAACAAUGGAUAUCCCACGAGGAGAAUAAUUUCUUGCUUGCGUCCUUUGAUGAAGCUGGGGUUGAAGCCUUCUUCAAGUCGAUGAAUCCCGCCUCGGCCCCGGGCCCCGAUGGUCUGCCAGAUUCUGGCCAAGGGUACGCCACCACGGAGGCUGAUGGGGCACACACUAGCGAGACGCUAAAUCAGUGUAGACAGCCCGACCUUUCACGGCGAUACAAGAUCAACACUUCUUUUCCUGUGUUCCUUCUCGCAACCUCCAAUAACAAUCUCUACCCGUGCACGAUCAGUACACGAACAAAAAUAAUGAUCCCCUUGAAUCAGCACGUAGGCGUCGAUGUGAUGAUCAACCCUUCAUCGCUAAUAGAUUCCCUCGAAGGAAAAUCAUAA
rnacentral:rRNA from 1 species